GACGUAGGGCGCGAGCGUUGUCCGGAUUUAUUGGGCGUAAAGAGCUCGUAGGCGGCUUGUCGCGUCGGCUGUGAAAACCCGCGGCUCAACUGUGGGCGGGCAGCUGAUACGGGCAGGCUGGAGUUCGGUAGGGGAGACUGGAAUUCCUGGUGUAGCGGUGAAAUGCGCAGAUAUCAGGAGGAACACCGGUGGCGAAGGCGGGUCUCUGGGCCGAUACUGACGCUGAGGAGCGAAGGCCAGGGGAGCAAACGGG
rnacentral:rRNA from 1 species